rnacentral:lncRNA from 10 species
CCCCCGGUCGGGGUUGGCGCGGUUUCCAUGGGGACUCACUCUGCGUUAAGGUUUCUCUCCCGUCAUUCCUGUCAGCCCAUGAUAUGAUGAUACCUCCUAAACACUGAGUGUGAGGAGCCGAUGCUGUGAUGCUGUGGGCUUUCAGGAUCAAAUGAUAUCUACCGAUUCCCACUAAGGAAGAGGUGAGACUAGCCCUCUCACAACGAUCACAAGAAAUGCUGCAAGGACCACUUUCAUUCGUACUCCCAGACCCCAUCGUUCCAAAACAAUUUGUAUCAGUUUUGGUUAGGUCAAUAUUCAGAGUUGACCUUAGUGUGACUGUAGAGUUUCUAUUCAGAGUAGAGCUGAAUUCUACCCUGAGUUCUCAUUGUAUAGCUAAAUGAUGAUCAUAUUACAGGAAAAGGGGUAAGUAAACUUUUUCUGUAAAUGGCCAGAUAGUACGUGAGCCUUGUUACAAGUACUCAGCUCUGCUGUUGCACUGGGAGAGCAGCCAUAGUAGUAGUAUCUCAAUAAAACUUUAUGGACACUGAAAUCCAAAUUUUGAAUAACUUUCUUGUGUCACAAAAUGUU